rnacentral:rRNA from 1 species
UCGAGAAUCAUUCACAAUGGGCGAAAGCCUGAUGGUGUGACGCCGCGUGGAGGAUGAAGGUCCUCGGAUUGUAAACUCCUGUCAUUGAUGAGCAAGAUGGCCCGGAUAAAACCCGGAGCCAUUUGAUAUUAGUCAAAGAGGAAGAGACGGCUAACUCUGUGCCAGCAGCCGCGGUAAUACAGAGGUCUCAAGCGUUGUUCGGAAUCACUGGGCGUAAAGGGUGCGUAGGUUGUUCCUUAAGUCGGGUGUGAAAGACCGGGGCUCAACCCCGGAACUGCAUUCGAUACUGGGGGACUGGAGGGUUCGAGGGGAGUCUGGAAUUCACGGUGUAGCAGUGAAAUGCGUGGAUAUCGUGAGGAACACUAGUGGCGAAGGCGGGACUCUGGAGAACACCUGACACUGAGGCACGAAGGCCAGGGGAGCGAACGG